rnacentral:tRNA from 1 species
GGGGCGGUAGCUCAGUCGGUCAGAGCAGCGGACUCAUAAUCCGUCGGUCGUGGGUUCGAGUCCCACCCGCCCCACCC